UGAAAUCGGCCGUGAUUGGCGCUUCAUAGUGGUAGCACUGCGCUCAAGAGAUUUCGGAUCACGCCGCUGACGCAAUGCGGCGGCGGUAAUACAACCGAUUUCAUCAGUUUUUAUCGAACAACCAUCAUGGCCGAUAACGAACGUAAUUCUCAACCGAGACGCAGUGAGGGGCCGUGCCGCUCGUAUGCGGCGGCGGCGGUCGGAGUGGCGGCCCCCCCCCCAUCCCGCCGCAUGAACAGGCUGUGGUGCCACCACCGCGACUCGAGGAUGUAAUGCAGGAGUUAGUCGCGCUGAGGGCUGCGGUGGCCCAGCUGCAACGGCAGCAGCAGCCGCAGUCGCCGCAGCCCGCCGCGAACGCGGCCCCGGCGGAGGAGGCCCAGGCGGCCCAGGCGGCGGAGGCGACCCAGGCGGCCCAGGCGGCGGAGGCGGCGGAGGCGGCCCAGCCGGCGCAGGUGCAGGCAGCGGACCCCGGCGAGCCGGCGCGGCCGCAGAAGAACCGUCGAAACCGCCGCCGCCGGGGGGGAAAUCGGGCGCCCGCCAUCUACCACUAUUACUACCGUUAGUAAUAUUGGUAGAUGGCGGGCCGGCGACGCUGCCCCCUAUUAAUAAAUAAAUAUAUUUAAAAAAAUA